CGCCCGUUUCCUGCCGAGCGGCGCGACGGCACCUGAACGACUGCGGCGGCGGCGGCGGCGGCGCCUCGGAGCGGGCGGCCCGGGCUGUAGUGCCGGCGCCGCCGCGUCUUCCCGGUCUCCUUCCCCGGCCGCACAGGGUUUUAUAGGAUCACAUUGACAAAAGUACCAUGGAGUUUUAUGAGUCAGCAUAUUUUAUUGUUCUUAUUCCUUCAAUAGUUAUUACAGUAAUUUUCCUCUUCUUCUGGCUUUUCAUGAAAGAAACAUUAUAUGAUGAAGUUCUUGCAAAACAGAAAAGAGAACAAAAGCUUAUUCCUACCAAAACAGAUAAAAAGAAAGCAGAAAAGAAAAAGAAUAAAAAGAAAGAAAUCCAGAAUGGAAACCUCCAUGAAUCUGAUUCUGAGAGUGUACCUCGAGACUUUAAAUUAUCAGAUGCUUUGGCAGUAGAAGAUGAUCAAGUUGUACCUGUUCCAUUGAAUGUGGUUGAAACUUCAAGUAGUGUUAGGGAAAGAAAAAAGAAGGAAAAGAAACAAAAGCCUGUACUUGAAGAGCAGGUCAUCAAAGAAAGUGAUGCAUCAAAGAUUCCUGGCAAAAAAGUAGAACCUGUCCCAGUUACUAAACAGCCCACCCCUCCCUCUGAAGCAGCUGCCUCAAAGAAGAAACCAGGGCAGAAGAAGUCUAAAAAUGGAAGCGAUGACCAGGAUAAAAAGGUGGAAACUCUCAUAGUACCAUCAAAAAGGCAAGAAGCAUUACCCCUCCACCAAGAGACUAAACAAGAAAGUGGAUCAGGGAAGAAGAAAGCUUCAUCAAAGAAACAAAAGACAGAAAAUGUCUUUGUAGAUGAACCCCUUAUUCAUGCAACUGCAUAUAUUCCUUUGAUGGAUAAUGCUGACUCAAGUCCUGUGGUGGAUAAGAGAGAGGUUAUUGAUUUGCUUAAACCUGACCAAGUAGAAGGGAUUCAGAAAUCUGGGACUAAAAAACUGAAGACUGAAACUGACAAAGAAAAUGCUGAAGUGAAGUUUAAAGAUUUUCUUCUGUCCUUGAAGACUAUGAUGUUUUCUGAAGAUGAGGCUCUUUGUGUUGUAGAUCUGCUAAAGGAGAAGUCUGGUGUGAUACAAGAUGCUUUAAAGAAGUCAAGUAAGGGAGAAUUGACUACGCUCGUACAUCAGCUUCAAGAAAAGGACAAGUUACUUGCUGCUGUGAAGGAAGAUGCUGCUGCUACAAAGGAUCGGUGUAAGCAGUUAACCCAGGAAAUGAUGUCAGAGAAAGAAAGAAGCAAUGUGGUUAUAGCAAGGAUGAAAGAUCGGAUUGGAACAUUAGAAAAGGAACAUAAUGUAUUUCAAAACAAAAUACAUGUCAGUUAUCAAGAGACUCAACAGAUGCAGAUGAAGUUUCAGCAAGUUCGUGAGCAGAUGGAGGCAGAGAUAGCUCACUUGAAGCAGGAAAAUGGCAUUCUGAGAGAUGCUGUCAGCAACACUACAAAUCAACUGGAAAGCAAGCAGUCUGCAGAACUAAAUAAACUACGCCAGGAUUAUGCUAGGUUGGUGAAUGAGCUGACUGAGAAAACAGGAAAGCUACAGCAAGAGGAAGUCCAAAAGAAGAAUGCUGAGCAAGCAGUUACUCAGUUGAAGGUUCAACUACAAGAAGCUGAAAGAAGGUGGGAAGAAGUUCAGAGCUACAUCAGGAAGAGAACAGCGGAACAUGAGGCAGCACAGCAAGAUUUACAGAGUAAAUUUGUGGCCAAAGAAAAUGAAGUACAGAGUCUGCAUAGUAAGCUUACAGAUACCUUGGUAUCAAAACAACAGUUGGAGCAAAGACUAAUGCAGUUAAUGGAAUCAGAGCAGAAAAGGGUGAACAAAGAAGAGUCUCUGCAAAUGCAGGUUCAGGAUAUUUUGGAGCAGAAUGAGGCUUUGAAAGCUCAGAUUCAGCAGUUCCAUUCCCAGAUAGCAGCCCAGACCUCCGCUUCAGUUUUAGCAGAAGAAUUACAUAAAGUGAUUGCAGAAAAGGAUAAGCAGAUAAAACAGACUGAAGAUUCUUUAGCAAAUGAACGUGAUCAUUUAACAAGUAAAGAAGAGGAACUUAAGGAUAUACAGAAUAUGAAUUUCUUAUUAAAAGCUGAAGUGCAGAAAUUACAGGCCCUGGCAAAUGAGCAGGCUGCUGCUGCACAUGAAUUGGAGAAGAUGCAACAAAGUGUUUAUGUUAAAGAUGAUAAAAUAAGAUUGCUGGAAGAACAACUACAACAUGAAAUUUCAAACAAAAUGGAAGAAUUUAAGAUUCUAAAUGACCAAAACAAAGCAUUAAAAUUAGAAGUUCAGAAGCUACAGACUCUUGUUUCUGAACAGCCUAAUAAAGAUGUUGUGGAACAAAUGGAAAAAUGCAUUCAAGAAAAAGAUGAGAAGUUAAAGACUGUAGAAGAAUUACUUGAAACUGGACUUAUUCAGGUGGCAACUAAAGAAGAGGAGCUGAAUGCAAUAAGAACAGAAAAUUCAUCUCUGACAAAAGAAGUUCAAGACUUAAAAGCUAAGCAAAAUGAUCAGGUUUCUUUUGCAUCUUUAGUUGAAGAACUUAAGAAAGUGAUCCACGAGAAAGAUGGAAAGAUCAAGUCUGUAGAAGAGCUUCUGGAGGCAGAACUUCUCAAAGUUGCUAACAAGGAGAAAACUGUUCAGGAUUUGAAACAGGAAAUAAAGGCUCUAAAAGAAGAAAUAGGAAAUGUCCAGCUUGAAAAGGCUCAACAGUUAUCUAUCACUUCCCAAGUUCAGGAGCUUCAGAACUUAUUAAAAGGAAAAGAGGAACAGAUGAAUACCAUGAAGGCUGUUUUAGAAGAGAAAGAGAAAGACCUAGCCAAUACAGGGAAGUGGUUACAGGAUCUUCAAGAAGAAAAUGAAUCUUUAAAAGCACAUGUUCAGGAAGUAGCACAACAUAACUUGAAAGAGGUCUCUUCUGCAUCACAGUUUGAAGAACUUGAGAUUGUGUUGAAAGAAAAGGAAAAUGAAUUGAAGAGGGUAGAAGCCAUGCUAAAAGAGAGGGAGAGUGAUCUUUCUAGCAAAACAAAGCUGUUACAGGAUGUACAAGAUGAAAACAAAUUGUUUAAGUCCCAAAUUGAACAGCUUAAACAACAAAACUACCAACAGGCAUCUUCUUUUCCCCCUCAUGAAGAAUUAUUAAAAGUAAUUUCAGAAAGAGAGAAAGAGAUAAGUGGUCUCUGGAAUGAGUUAGAUUCUUUGAAGGAUGCAGUUGAACACCAAAGGAAGAAAAACAAUGACCUUCGGGAGAAAAACUGGGAAGCAAUGGAAGCAUUGGCAUCAACUGAAAAAAUGCUGCAGGACAAAGUGAACAAGACUUCCAAGGAAAGACAACAACAGGUGGAAGCUGUUGAGUUGGAGGCUAAAGAAGUUCUCAAAAAAUUAUUUCCAAAGGUGUCUGUCCCUUCUAAUUUGAGUUAUAGUGAAUGGUUGCAUGGAUUUGAAAAGAAGGCAAAAGAAUGUAUGGCUGGAACUUCAGGGUCAGAGGAGGUUAAGGUUCUAGAGUACAAGUUGAAAGAAGCUGAUGAAAUGCACACAUUGUUACAGCUAGAGUGUGAAAAAUACAAAUCCGUCCUUGCAGAAACAGAAGGAAUUUUACAGAAGCUACAGAGAAGUGUUGAGCAAGAAGAAAAUAAAUGGAAAGUUAAGGUCGAUGAAUCACACAAGACUAUUAAACAGAUGCAGUCAUCAUUUACAUCUUCAGAACAAGAGCUAGAGCGAUUAAGAAGAGAAAAUAAGGAUAUUGAAAAUCUGAGAAGAGAACGAGAACAUUUGGAAAUGGAACUAGAGAAGGCAGAGAUGGAACGAUCUACCUAUGUUACAGAAGUCAGAGAGCUGAAAGAUCUGUUGACUGAAUUGCAGAAAAAACUUGAUGAUUCAUAUUCUGAAGCAGUAAGACAGAAUGAAGAGCUAAAUUUGUUGAAGGCACAGUUAAAUGAAACACUCACAAAACUUAGAACUGAACAAAAUGAAAGACAGAAGGUAGCUGGUGAUUUGCAUAAGGCUCAACAGUCACUGGAGCUUAUCCAGUCAAAAAUAGUAAAAGCUGCUGGAGACAUUACUGUUAUUGAAAAUAGUGAUGUUUCCCCAGAAACGGAGUCUUCUGAGAAGGAGACAAUGUCUGUAAGUCUAAAUCAGACUGUAACACAGUUACAGCAAUUGCUUCAGGCAGUAAACCAACAGCUCACAAAGGAGAAAGAGCACUACCAGGUGUUAGAGUGAUCAUCCUCUGGCCUACCUUGACACAUGCUCUCCUUCAAAAUGCUAAUUCAGAGUGAAGUAAUUGGGAAACUGUUCAUUUGAGGAUAAAAAAGGCAUUGUAUUAUAUUUUGCCAAAUUAAAGCCUUAUUUAUGUUUUCACCCUUUCUACUUUGUCAGAAACACUGAACAGAGUUUUGUCUUUUCUAAUCCUUGUUAGACUACUGAUUUAAAGAAAGAAAAAAAAAAGCCAACUCUGUAGACACCUUCAGAGUUUAGUUUUAUAAUAAAAACUGUUUGAAUAAUUAGACCUUUACAUUCCUGAAGAUAAACAUGUAAUCUUUUAUCUUAUUUUGCUCAAUAAAAUUGUUCAGAAGAUCAAAGUGGUAAAGACAAUGUAAAAUUUAACAUUUUAAUACUGAUGUUGUACACUGUUUUACUUAACAUUUUGGGAAGUAACUGCCUCUGACUUCAACUCAAGAAAACACUUUUUUUGUUGCUAAUGUAAUCGGUUUUUGUAAUGGCGUCAGCAAAUAAAAGGAUGCUUAUUAUUCAAACUUGA